rnacentral:tRNA from 1 species
CCCGACUUAGCUCAGUCUGGCUAGAGCGGCUGACUGUAGACAGCCGCUGAGAUCAGCAGGCCCCCGGUUCAAAUCCGGGAGUCGGGA